rnacentral:misc_RNA from 1 species
UACGUAGGCAGCAAGCGUUGUUCGGAAUUACUGGGCGUAAAGAGUGUGUAGGCGGUUCGGCAAGUUCGGUGUGAAAUCUCCCGGCUUAACUGGGAGGGUGCGCCGAAAACUGCUGUUCUAGAGUGUGGGAGAGGAGAGCGGAAUUCCUGGUGUAGCGGUGAAAUGCGUAGAUAUCAGGAGGAACACCCGUGGCGAAGGCGGCUCUCUGGACCACUACUGACGCUGAGACACGAAAGCGUGGGGAGCAAACAGG